AUUGAACGCUGGCGGCAGGCCUAACACAUGCAAGUCGAGCGGGGACUUCGGUCCUAGCGGCGAACGGGUGAGGAAUGCUUGGGAAUCUGCCCAGUAGUGGGGGAUAACGUCCCGAAAGGGACGCUAAUACCGCAUACGUCCUACUGGAGAAAGAGGGGGAUCUUCGGACCUCUCGCUAUUGGAUGAGCCCAAGUCGGAUUAGCUAGUUGGUAGGGUAAUGGCCUACCAAGGCGACGAUCCGUAGCUGGUCUGAGAGGAUGAUCAGCCACACUGGAACUGAGACACGGUCCAGACUCCUACGGGAGGCAGCAGUGGGGAAUAUUGGACAAUGGGCGCAAGCCUGAUCCAGCCAUGCCGCGUGUGUGAAGAAGGCCUUCGGGUUGUAAAGCACUUUAAGCGGGGAGGAAGGUCCGCGGCCUAAUACGUCGCGGAAUUGACGUUACCCGCAGAAUAAGCACCGGCUAACUCUGUG
rnacentral:rRNA from 1 species